ensembl:lncRNA
UUUUCCGGGAACUGUGUAUGGAACAAGUGAGUUUCUUUAAAGUAUUGUUCCCCUCCAAGAACUAGUUCGGCUUUUUGAUACUGGUUUUGCAGAUUAAGCAACAGGUUGGGAUGAGCACCAAGACAAACAGGAUUUGGCUAGUAUAGGCUUGCUUGGUGAGUUAGCCGCCCACAUAAAUGUCCCUUUGAGCAACGUGAUGGAGACGUUCCCACAGAUCUCUGUUGACUGGUUGCCCCAUGGACCAAGAGCCAAAAGCAAAGUGUGUUUCCUCUGUCUUCACUGUGCAUACUGUAUACAUGUUAUCAGCGCUGGCAGACUUUGUUGAAGAACUGGUUCUGUUUUUAAUUUUAAAAAGAGCGAUCUUAAUAAAUCGUUUAUUCUUGACAUUACCUUGAAACCCUUUGCGAUGUAGAUGAAGCAUCUGUUUAUGUCAGAUUUUUUUAUGCUGCAUACAGUAAACACACUGUCUGCAUCUUUACACAACAGAGAGGGGAAAAAAAAGUUCAGUUUCACGCAAAAGUAUUGUGGUUUAUGUUAAAGGCUAAAGUGGCACAUGUAAAAAGGGCCCUUCCGCCACUCGCCUUCUUAAAGCGUGACAAAAGCGUGACAUUAAAGGCAGGAUAUGAAAGAAGAACAGGAUGAGGAAAAUAUGACAAAGAACUUUUUUUUUAAAAGUGUCAUUAAUAUGUGUUUUUACACACGUCUGUAUGUAUAAGUAAUGUUUUUAGAGAAAUAUUUAGAGAUGUUUUAGAGAUAUUUAUAUGUAAGGUAUUUUUAAAGAGUGUAAUAAAUAAUUAUAAAAUGCUAAUCUUGAGAAAUGGCAAGUACACAAUUGACAGCACUUCCACAUAUACACAGUGCCAUCUGCUGCCUCACAUGAGAAAAUUCAACCCAGUACCUCUUAAAUAAAACACCACAAGACAUCAAUAAUUCACACUUCGCUCGCUUAAAUUUAUGUGAUGGUGCUGGCAAAUGAUCAUUUUUCUACUUUUAAGUGUUCCUAAAAUGUAAAUAUUGUGCUGCCUGUGUAAGAUAUAACGCUCUACAAUGUUUUGAUAUACAGUAAGCCUUCUGGCAUUGCUAGAUUUGUUAGGGAGACUCUGUUGUGGAUGUCUUAGUAUUUUUCAUCUAAAGGAAAAUAAAUAUAUAUGCUGAGAGCAAAAUGACAUACCAACAAAUUAAACAAUGUAUCUCAGUAAAGGUUUUGAGUGUGAAUAUUUCUAAGAGUGUGAUGAAUGAAUGUGGGACCCUGUGCCACGUGUGCUUUUUAAAAAAAAAAAAUUAUCUGGUAAAUUAGGGUGUAGUUCUUC